UACGAAGGGUGCAAGCGUUACUCGGAAUUACUGGGCGUAAAGCGUGCGUAGGUGGUGAGUUAAGUCUGUCGUGAAAUCCCCGGGCUUAACCUGGGAAUGGCGAUGGAGGCUGCGAGGCUAGAGUUUGGCAGAGGGGGGUAGAAUUCCACGUGUAGCAGUGAAAUGCGUAGAGAUGUGGAGGAACACCGAUGGCGAAGGCAGCCCCCUGGGUCAAAACUGACGCUCAUGCACGAAAGCGUGGGGAGCAAACAGG
rnacentral:rRNA from 1 species